UGGCGGCACUAGCGCGGUGGUCCCACCUGACCCAUGCCGAACUCAGAAGUGAAACGCCGUAGCGCCGAUGGUAGUGUGGGGUCUCCCCAUGCGAGAGUAGGGAACUGCCAGGCA
rnacentral:rRNA from 1 species